CACGUAGGGGGCAAGCGUUGUCCGGAUUUAUUGGGCGUAAAGAGCUCGUAGGCGGUUCGGCAAGUCGGGUGUGAAACCCCCAGGCUCAACCUGGGACGCCACCCGAUACUGCUGUGACUUGAGUCCGGUAGGGGAGCGUGGGAAUUCCUGGUGUAGCGGUGAAAUGCGCAGAUAUCAGGAGGAACACCAGCGGCGAAGGCGGCGCUCUGGGCCGGAACUGACGCUGAGGAGCGAAAGCGUGGGUAGCAAACAGG
rnacentral:rRNA from 1 species